AGUGAACGCUGGCGGUAUGCCUAACACAUGCAAGUCGAACGGCAGCACAGUAAGAGCUUGCUCUUACGGUUGGCGAGUGGCGGACGGGUGAGGAAUACAUCGGAAUCUACUUUUUCGUGGGGGAUAACGUAGGGAAACUUACGCUAAUACCGCAUACUACCUACGGGUGAAAGCAGUGGAUCUUCGGACCUUGCGCGAUUGAAUGAGCCGAUGUCGGAUUAGCUAGGUGGCUGGGUAAAGGCCCACCAAGGCGACGAUCCGUAGCUGGUCUGAGAGGAUGAUCAGCCACACUGGAACUGAGACACGGUCCGGACUCCUACGGGAGGCAGCAGUGGGGAAUAUUGGACAAAGGGCGCAAGCCUGAUCCAGCAAUACCGCGUGGGUGAAGAAGGCCUUCGGGUUGUAAAGCCCUUUUGUUGGGAAAGAAAAGCAGCAGGUUAAUACCCCGCUGUUCUGACGGUACCCAAAGAAUAAGCACCGGCUAACUUCGUG
rnacentral:rRNA from 1 species